CAGCAGCCGCGGUAAUACGUAGGGUGCAAGCGUUAAUCGGAAUUACUGGGCGUAAAGCGUGCGCAGGCGGUUUGUUAAGACAGAUGUGAAAUCCCCGGGCUCAACCUGGGAACUGCAUUUGUGACUGGCAAGCUAGAGUGUGGCAGAGGGGAGUGGAAUUCCGCGUGUAGCAGUGAAAUGCGUAGAUAUGCGGAGGAACACCGAUGGCGAAGGCAGCCCCCUGGGCCAACACUGACGCUCAUGCACGAAAGCGUGGGGAGCAAACAGGAUUAGAUACCCGAGUAGUCCCUGUCUCUUAUAA
rnacentral:rRNA from 1 species